CCGAAUCGUCAAACACGGGUUGUUGCUGGCCCUCGACGGGGCACGUGCACGCUCUGUUUACACAUCCACUCACACCUGUGCACCCCCUGUAGUUCUGUGGUUUGGAGGAUCUCAUCUUCCUUCCGCAGCUUCUACGUCUUUACACACACACUGUAGUGAUGUCUCGUGGGAUGUUUUUCUGCGUUUAACGCAAUACAAUACAACUUUCAGCAACGGAUCUCUUGGCUCUCGCAUCGAUGAAGAACGCAGCGAAAUGCGAUAAGUAAUGUGAAUUGCAGAAUUCAGUGAAUCAUCGAAUCUUUGAACGCACCUUGCGCCCCUUGGUUAUUCCUCGGGGCAUGCCUGUUUGAGUAUCAUGAACACCUCAACUCUCAUGGUUUUCCAUGGUGAGCUUGGACUUUGGGGGUUUGCUGGCCUUAUGGCCGGCUCCUCUCAAAUGAAUCAGCUUUCCAGUGUUCGGUGGCGUCAUGGGUGUGAUAACUAUCUACGCUCAGGACCGUCUGCCGGGUAACCCUCAGCGAUGACGGUUCACUGGAGCUUAUAAAUGUCUCUCCUCGGUGGGGACAACUUUGAACGUCUU
rnacentral:sRNA from 1 species